UGUGAUUUCUGCCUGCAUGUAUAUGCACCA
rnacentral:piRNA from 1 species